UUGCUGCUUUGCUGACGAGUGGCGGACGGGUGAGUAAUGUCUGGGAAACUGCCUGAUGGAGGGGGAUAACUACUGGAAACGGUAGCUAAUACCGCAUAACGUCGCAAGACCAAAGAGGGGGACCUUCGGGCCUCUUGCCAUCGGAUGUGCCCAGAUGGGAUUAGCUAGUAGGUGGGGUAACGGCUCACUUAGGCGACGAUCCCUAGCUGGUCUGAGAGGAUGACCAGCCACACUGGAACUGAGACACGGUCCAGACUCCUACGGGAGGCAGCAGUGGGGAAUAUUGCACAAUGGGCGCAAGCCUGAUGCAGCCAUGCCGCGUGUAUGAAGAAGGCCUUCGGGUUGUAAAGUACUUUCAGCGGGGAGGAAGGCGAUAAGGUUAAUAACCUUGUCGAUUGACGUUACCCGCAGAAGAAGCACCGGCUAACUCCGUGCCAGCAGCCGCGGUAAUACGGAGGGUGCAAGCGUUAAUCGGAAUUACUGGGCGUAAAGCGCACGCAGGCGGUCUGUCAAGUCGGAUGCGAAAUCCCCGGGCUCAACCUGGGAACUGCAUUCGAAACUGGCAGGCUAGAGUCUUGUAGAGGGGGGUAGAAUUCCCAGGUGUAGCGGUGAUAAUGCGUAGAGAUCUGGAGGAAUACCGGUGGCGAAGGCGGCCCCCUGGACAAAGACUGACGC
rnacentral:rRNA from 1 species